UAACUUACAGAGUUGUAUCUCUCACUGCUGGAACUGAAUACACAUUCACUCUCUUCUCUGUGUUUGAGAACAUCUUAAGCAGUGGAGUGAGCGUUACUGCAGCCACUGGCCCUAAUUAUGUUCUUGCCAUGAACGUGGAAUUGGAGUCGUUUUCUCAGCUGUCGGACUCGGAACUGCAGAGUGCACUAACUGCU